UAAUUUUUUACAGACCUAAGGAAAGGAUCAUCCAUCAUCAUCCUCUUUCAUUCUCCAUCACCUUCAUCAUCUCCAUCCUCACCUCACCGCCUCCUUUGCCUCCACGCCAUCUUCCACCAUUAUUGUCUCCCCUGUGCCGGUACCUACGACGUGUGUGUUGGAAGCCCGACCUCCUCACCAUCAUUGUCAGAACCUCAGCUCGAGUCUUCAAUCUCUCUCCUUCGUCCCCUUUCCCCCACAAUGGAUCUCAAUCUAUGUUUCCUACGAGCUCAACCUUUGUCCCUCCAUUCCCAGUCCUCUUAGGAGGAAGCUGAGGGCGGACGAAGUCCAACCUUGCCGAAGAGCCCAAGAGCUUGUUACGGAGUAUGGAACCCGAGAUGAGCAGCUUCACUUGAUUAGUUGCGGAUUUGAGGGAACGGAAAGGAGGCCGACAUCUGAGGCCGAAGAGAGAUGCAAGGACGAAGUAGAAAGAGAAACAAGAAGAGAAGACGAGAGACAGAGAGCAGAGCAAGGAAGUUUGGUGUGACCAAUUUUACACGUGUUCUGGAGCUUGCUGUAAUGGGGCGAGCGACAACAAGAAGAACAGAGUUGGGCCGAGGCACAUACAGCUCGCCGUGAUGAAUAAUGAGGAGCUGAACAGGGGUCGGUGACAAUCGCGAAUGGAGUUGUCUUGCCGAGCAUUCACCACGCUAGGAGUAAGAGGGUGCAGUUGUGAACUUGUGUUUGGAAUGAUUCAUGCAUUUUCUUGUCGUGAUAUUAUUUUACCCGUCUUCAAUUGAGGUUUCUUGACAACAGGUUGUCAAUUUAGUUGACAAUCGGUUGUCUAUUUUCUUAA